AUGGCCCCUCUCCUGGCCUUCCUCUGCCUGCUGGCCGCUCUCCAUGGUGUCUUGAGCGAGGACCACCUUGUGCAAUGGGGGGAGGGAGUGGUGGUCUCCUCGCAGAAGCUCAGCCUCACCUGUGCUGCCUACACAUACUCCGUUACGAGACACUCCAUGUCCUGGGUCCGCCUUCCCCAAGGGAAGGGCCUUGAGUGGAUUGGUGUGAUCCGGGCUAAUGGGAACACUAAUUACAACCCCAACCUCCAGUCCAGAGUCAGCAUCUCCAGAAACACAAACAAGAACCAAGUGUUCCUAGAGCUGAGAAGCGUGACGGCUGAGGAUGCCGGCACAUACUACUGUGCCCAGGGCACUGUGCUCCGAACCCAGCAUGGGCCCAGACAAAAACCUGUCUGCAGGGGUGCUCAGGGCCUCCAGAGGGCGCCCAGGAACCACUGA